rnacentral:rRNA from 1 species
UACAGAGACUGCAAGCGUUAUUCGGAUUCACUGGGCGUAAAGGGUGCGCAGGUGGCCGUGUGUGUGAGGCGUGAAAGCCCGGGGCUUAACCUCGGAAUUGCAUUCAAUACUGCUUCGCUUGAGUACUGGAGAGGAGGCUGGAAUUUACGGUGUAGCAGUGAAAUGCGUAGAUAUCGUAAGGAAGGCCGGUGGCGAAAGCGAGCCUCUGGACAGUUACUGACGCUGAUGCACGAAGGCCAGGGGAGCAAACGGG